rnacentral:rRNA from 1 species
GUAGGUGGCAAGCGUUGUCCGGAAUUAUUGGGCGUAAAGCGCGCGCAGGCGGUUCUUUAAGUCUGAUGUGAAAGCCCACGGCUCAACCGUGGAGGGUCAUUGGAAACUGGAGAACUUGAGUACAGAAGAGGAAAGCGGAAUUCCACGUGUAGCGGUGAAAUGCGUAGAGAUGUGGAGGAACACCAGUGGCGAAGGCGGCUUUCUGGUCUGUAACUGACGCUGAGGCGCGAAAGCGUGGGGAGCAAACAGGGAUUAGAUACCCUGGUAGUCCACGGCGUAAACGAUGAGUGCUAAGUGUUAGGGGGUUUCCCGCCCCUUAGUGCUGCAGCUAACGCAUUAAGCACUCCGCCUGGGGAGUACGGCCGCAAGGCUG